rnacentral:siRNA from 1 species
CUGCCACUUACAAUACCCCGU